GAAUUAGUGACCAGGCAGGAUUCCAGAGGCCUUUCCUUCCCACUUCCACCUUGAAUUCUUACUUAAAAUGCAAGCCAUGUACAGAGAAUGAACAUAGGGCCAGAAAUGUACUACGCUUGCCUGUGUAUAACGUAGGGCUAGGUGCUGUCUCCCAUGAUUUCAUUUACUCAAAGGAAAUCAGAUUUGAGGGAGAUAAUGUAAUAUUUUGUCUUGUUUCAGAGCCACCAACUAUUACAGAAGAAGAAUUUGAAGAUUCUCUGGCAACAGAUGAUUUCCUUGUAGACUACUUUAAUGAAUUCCUAAGCCUUCCAUGCAAAGGAUGGUGUUGAAAUAGUCUUAACUGAAGAACAUAUUGUACUUAAAUUUCUCCUUUUGGACAAGGGAGAUUGUUAGCCUUCAUGGCUCCUAAGGAUGAAAGACAAUGGGAGCAUUAUUUCUUCCUUUACUCAUUCUUCCCUAGUGAUCCACCCCCUUCUAAGAGAAUAACAUUGCUUUGUAGAGCCAGACCUUUUCAGAGGCAAUUAGAUUUAAUGCAGAUUAUGGAGUUUUUGAAGUAGCUAAUGAUG
rnacentral:sRNA from 1 species